ACGGAGGGUGCAAGCGUUAUUCGGAAUUACUGGGCGUAAAGCGCACGCAGGCCGCUUUGUAAGUCAGGGGUGAAAUCCCACGGCUCAACCGUGGAACUGCCCUUGAAACUGCAGAGCUUGAAUCCUGGAGAGGGUGGCGGAAUUCCUGGUGUAGCAGUGAAAUGCGUAGAUAUGAGGAAGAACACCGGUGGCGAAGGCGGCCAACUGAACAGGCACUGACGCUGAGGUGCGAAAGUGUGGGGAUCAAACAG
rnacentral:rRNA from 1 species